GCUGCUUCUCCUGGUCCUUUUGGCUGAAUCAAUGGCACAGCUUUUACAUUUUUUUUUUCUUCUUUCCUUUUUUUAAACAAUUUUUUUUUUAUUUUUUUUGCAAAGCCUUAUGUUCAUUGGUGAAAUGAGCAAAAUUUGUCCACCGGUAUGGGCUUCAGGAAAUCCAAAGCCCCUUCCCUUCCUCGCUUGCCUUUUUUACCAAGUGCCAACGUCAGGUGGGUGGGCGACUCAGACCUUGAAGGGUGGGGCCUCUUCAGGGAGAAACGAAGGAUACCGGAGGGGAAUUGGGUUCAUCCCUCCACUUCUCGCGUGGAGCAGGCUUACCUCUCGGGCACCCUUUUAUUCGCCGUUUAGCAGGCCAAAGGCUUGUGACUUCAGCCCUGACAGUGACCAAGACAUUGAGACGUGCUUCGUGCUUCUGCUAAAGUCACCGGUGGCACACGGGGCCCCCGCCGCGAUGGCGCAGGUGCACCUGCUGUGGGCGGGGCAUCAACAGCGCGCGGGGCCUGGAGCCGCUGCGAUUUGGCUCUUGGCCUCAGCCUUCCUGGCAGGGAAACCUCCUUUCUUAAAGUUCCCGAUACCAUCACAAAGCCACUUUGCGAAAUACGACGAAACUAUAGCUAUCCUGAGACCUUGAGGAGAUGGGAUGGUGGAAGUCUCCGGUAACGGUUGUAAGACCCAGAACCCCAGGGCUAGCUUGGAGGGGACAGAGCUGAUCAGUGAGCAGCCCGGGUCAGUCCAGAGUCCACACGGAAGAGGAGGUCUGAGAAGAAAGGUCAAAGAACACAAAUGUGCUUACGGCCGAAAGUGUGAAUGCCACCGUGGAACAUUUCUUGUUUUGCACAAUGGAGUUAUUCACGGUUACAUGUGCUCAUAAUUACACCGAUUGUAAAUUGCUCUUGUCUAGUGCCUUACAGCUGUCUUUGGAUGGACUUCUCUCAUUUGUUUUGAGAUAAUGUAAGUCAAGCAUUUAGCACAGCGCUUGACAUUUCAUAAGUAACCCACAAAUGUUAAAUAUCAUUUUAGUGCCAAACUACUCUUAAUACUUUCCUGCCCCAUAAGAAUCACUUUUUCCUCUACGUCCACUAUCUAGGGCGAUAACCUGGGUGCUAUGCGUACAGCUCCCACCCGAGCCCUAAAUGAAGAGGAGCAUUUCACAGAAUCCUCAUCAACAUACGUCCCUAAGGACUUCUUGGAUUAAUCCUUUUCCUGCUGGUCUCCUUGAAUUAUAUAUUAUCAUUAUAAAGAAGUGUGUAGGCUGGGGGUUCACUAUGAAAUUAGAAAAGAGUAACUGAUUAGCUUUCCUGCAAAGCCCGUGACCAUUAUUCCAUUGAGCCCCUAGCAAAUCGAUCACAGGUAUCCAGCAAAACAGGGCAAGGCCGAGAAGGAAGGGCACACGGUAACGGAAGGGAACUCUCGGAAAAACAGCAUGGGUUCCAAAGCAGAGUGAGCGGUCCUGUCCCGUCGCCUUGCUCCUCUGAUGGCUCGGCAAUGCCAAGGUGCGUGUCUCUGUCCUGUCUUCAGCACGGUCC
rnacentral:lncRNA from 1 species